CUCCUCCACCGGCUGAGAAAUUCGAGUAUCAAGCUGAAGUUAGUCGCCUCAUGGACCUUAUUGUUAACAGCUUAUACAGCAAUAAGGAGGUGUUUCUUCGCGAGCUUAUUAGCAAUGCUAGCGAUGCACUGGAUAAGCUGCGUUA